rnacentral:rRNA from 1 species
GACGUAGGGGGCGAGCGUUAUCCGGAUUCACUGGGCGUAAAGGGCGCGUAGGCGGUUCCGAAAGUCCGGCGUGAAAGUUCACGGCUCAACCGUGACAGUGCGUCGGAAACUUCGGUGACUUGAGGGUGGUAGAGGCAACUGGAACAAGCGGUGUAGCGGUGAAAUGCGCAGAUAUCGCUUGGAACGCCGGUGGCGAAGGCGAGUUGCUGGGCCAUCCCUGACGCUGAGGCGCGAAAGCUAGGGGAGCGAACCGG